CCUACGGGAGGCUGCAGUGGGGAAUAUUGGACAAUGGGGGCAACCCUGAUCCAGCCAUGCCGCGUGUGUGAAGAAGGCCCUCGGGUUGUAAAGCACUUUCAGUGAGGAAGAACGCCUGGUGGUUAAUACCCAUCAGGAAAGACAUCACUCACAGAAGAAGCACCGGCUAACUCCGUGCCAGCAGCCGCGGUAAUACGGAGGGUGCGAGCGUUAAUCGGAAUUACUGGGCGUAAAGCGCGCGUAGGUGGCUUGAUAAGCCGGUUGUGAAAGCCCCGGGCUCCACCUGGGAACGGCAUCCGGAACUGUCAAGCUAGAGUGCAGGAGAGGAAGGUAGAAUUCCCGGUGUAGCGGUGAAAUGCGUAGAGAUCGGGAGGAAUACCAGUGGCGAAGGCGGCCUUCUGGACUGACACUGACACUGAGGUGCGAAAGCGUGGGUAGCAAACAGGAUUAGAUACCCCGGUAGUC
rnacentral:rRNA from 1 species